rnacentral:rRNA from 1 species
GUGUCAGCAGCCGCGGUAAUACAGAGGGGGCAAGCGUUGUUCGGAAUUAUUGGGCGUAAAGGGUGCGUAGGCGGUGCGGUAAGUCUUCUGUGAAAUCUCCGGGCUCAACUCGGAGCCUGCAGGAGAAACUGCCGUGCUUGAGUAUGGGAGAGGUGAGUGGAAUUCCUGGUGUAGCGGUGAAAUGCGUAGAUAUCAGGAGGAACACCUGUGGCGAAAGCGGCUCACUGGACCAUAACUGACGCUGAGGCACGAAAGCUAGGGGAGCAAACAGGAUUAGAUACCCUCGUAGUCC